GGUGGCAAUACUCAGCGGUAGAGUGCUUGCCUUGUAUGCAUGAAGUCCUGGGUUCGAAUCCUCAGCACCA
rnacentral:tRNA from 1 species